rnacentral:lncRNA from 1 species
UUUACAGUAUUUGGGAAAUAGCACAGGAAGCUGCUGCCAGCCAAAAAGCCAUUUGCAGCAUCACUGAAUGUCUGCUGGCUGCCUGCUCCCAGCAGGCUGAUCAGCAACAACAUGACUGCAGGUUCAACCUUGUGAGCGCCAUGCUCCUAAUAACCACCAGCCAGCCAUAGCUGAAUACACCUCGGGUUCUAAGUGGAUCAGGGAACUAAAUCAUCUCUCAUUCCAGCCUGCUCAUUUUGAGCCAACUCAUUUUACAGUGAGGUUAGCAUAGCCCUGCCACUUAAGGAUGAUUGCUCACAGAGCCCAGGGUGAUGUUGUCUUAGUGAGCAUCUACAGUGAGGCAGUUGACACAAAUUGCAUCGUCUGCUGCUUGAGGUUUAAUGCUGAUGCUGCCAAGAGAAUAUUUUUGCAGAAGUUAUCAAUGUAUAACAGAAUAUAAAACAAUCACCAAAAUCAAAAAUCCUCCACCCUCCAUGAUACUUAGUUCAGAGUUCUAAUUACCUCACUCUUCUUAAACAAAAUCUAUUAACCCAGAAAACAAUUAACACAGCCUGCACUUUUAAUUAAUAUCCAAAGCCUUCAAUACAAUAAAACUCUAAAAAGAAAUAGUUUCCACUGGAUAUGUCCAAUUGUUUUGAAACAAACUGUCAUAUCAAAGAAUACAUACAAAAAAAAUGCUACUUGUUCAUUUUUUUCAAAACCCUUUUAAUGCUACCAAACAUGUUCAUUGCAGAACUCAAAAAUGACAGUGUUUAAUUUAUUCCAUGAAUCUUCAUUGAAGGAAAUGGAUGAGAAGGAGAGUCACUGGAUAUAUAAAGCACGCCCAGAGUGUGGUGUGCGGUGAUCUCUGGGUAACGCUUCCCUUUCAUUUCCUGAAAGCGUAUUGCGGUGGAAGUCAUACAUUUUAAACCAGCCAAUUAGAUUUUAUACCAAGCAAUACCACUUAGCCUCUGUGGAGCCAUGAACUCUUUGGCCCACCGUGAAUGAAAUAGCCCUGUAAAUCCCCACAGACAGGACAACUUGCACCGGUGUUCAUUUUUUCAAUUAAUUACUUUUCCAGUGCUAAUGCAAUUAAGAACUAGACCUAAUAUUUAGGCCUUCUGUUUUAAUUACAGCCCUACAUCCUAUAAUAAUAUUAAAGAAAGCCCUUUUGAGCUUUGAUGACUUCAUGAUCAGAACUUUCUACUCUGUACAAUUUCCAUUUUAACUGGCCUGUUCAUGACAGGUCUCAUUCUAAAAUCUGCUACCCUUAGGUGAGCUGUGUUCGGAAAGGCUUGCCUCUCAUCUAUUCACUGUUUGACCACACAGGUGCCUGGAAACCAUUUGAGUAAAAUCAGGUCCAAAGACAUACUGCAACCCUUCUUUACAGGAAAGAACUGCUUCAACACGCUGGGCAUCCAUUUCUGAAGAUUAUUUAAUUGCAUUGUUUAUUUUAUAUAGAAGUCUUCCAAAAUUGAAAAGUAGGAUGGAAGCCAAUAUGGUUAAACUUCAGGCUCUGAUCCAGGAUGCUAAUGAGCAAGAGCAUCCUGGAUGAGAGCAUCCUGGAUGAGGGGUACCAACAGCCAUGCGGUGAGUGAUAGGAGGCAUUCUCAAACUCAAAAGCAAGGCUAUGACUUCUCUUUUCCUCUACUUUUUCAGAGACAAGCCUCCCAGCCAUCUCUGAGUCUAAGCUUUAGAGAGACUAAAGCCUCUAUUCUGUUUGUAUAAACUCCCCAUAUUUCAGAAACUUAAAAGCCACCCAAGCUAAUGUGACUUACAGGGUAACCUAAGCUUAUAGUCUCUGUCCUGAGAAGUUAAGCGCUCAUGAUUAAAACAUCAGGCUUAGUAGUGUGGUGCACUCCUGUAAUCCCGACUGUAGUGGCUAUUCCUGGUUGUCAACUUGACUAUAUUUGGAAUGAACUACAAUCCAGAAUUGGAAGGCUCACCAGUGACCCUUAUCUGGAGGCUUGGAGAAAGCUG